rnacentral:rRNA from 1 species
GACCAGCGGAGGGAUCAUUACCGAGUUUACAACUCCCAAACCCAAUGUGAACGUUACCAAACUGUUGCCUCGGCGGGGUCACGCCCCGGGUGCGUCGCAGCCCCGGAACCAGGCGCCCGCCGGAGGAACCAACCAAACUCUUUCUGUAGUCCCCUCGCGGACGUAUUUCUUUACAGCUCUGAGCAAAAAUUCAAAAUGAAUCAAAACUUUCAACAACGGAUCUCUUGGUUCUGGCAUCGAUGAAGAACGCAGCGAAAUGCGAUAAGUAAUGUGAAUUGCAGAAUUCAGUGAAUCAUCGAAUCUUUGAACGCACAUUGCGCCCGCCAGUAUUCUGGCGGGCAUGCCUGUCCGAGCGUCAUUUCAACCCUCGAACCCCUCCGGGGGAUCGGCGUUGGGGAUCGGGACCCCUCACACGGGUGCCGGCCCCUAAAUACAGUGGCGGUCUCGCCGCAGCCUCUCCUGCGCAGUAGUUUGCACAACUCGCACCGGGAGCGCGGCGCGUCCACGUCCGUAAAACACCCAACUUUCUGAAAUGUUGACCUCGGAUCAGGUAGGAAUACCCGCUGAACUUAAGCAUAUCAAUAAGGCGGAG